rnacentral:misc_RNA from 1 species
AAGUCGUAACAAGGUAACCGUAGGUGAACCUGCGGUUGGAUCAUUAAAAAAUGUUUGACCUCGUGUCAAAACAACAUUUGUGUGCACUAUUGUCUGUCUUUGGUAGUUCGAGUUGCGCUCGAGGUUCAACGCCUCGAGCGCCUACCCGCAAGGGUUGGGCUACCGCCAUUUUUUGAUAAACAUUUUGUUUUUUUUUUUUCUUGUCUGAACGAAGAGUUAGUCUUUAUUGAUUAAUGAUUUGAAUACAACUUUUGACAACGGAUCUCUUGGCUCUC